rnacentral:snRNA from 1 species
GGAUGUGAGGGUGAUCUGGUUGCAACAUCUGUUACCCCAUUGAUUGGCAGGAUUGAUUCAGAAACCUGGCUGGCUAGGUGGGUGUCCCCUUCCUCCCUCACCACUCUGUAUGUGUCCCUCCCAAAGCUGUGCACUCAGUGGAGAGGAUGGCCAGUUUUCGGUCAAGGGUUUAUGAGUAGUUGCUCUCCCCUGCUAGAACCUCCAAACAAGCUCUCAAGAAAGAUAGGGACACAGAUCUGCUUCAAACAAGCUCUCAAGAAAGAGAAAGACACAGAUCUGCUUCAUCACUU